ensembl:lncRNA
ACUCCUUGAAGCAGCUCCGAGCCCUGCUUCCUUUCGUAGACGCAGGAGGUGUGGAGACUUGGACAACACUUUGGCCAACCUGCGCAGUAACACCUCCUCCCUCUCUUCUCCAUUUCGGUUCAGUUCAGGGUGGCGGCGGUUAACAUCUUGGCCCCAAAUUCUAGGUUAAAGGCGGAUCCCGCCCGGCGAGCACCGGCCCCAGGAAACGCGUCUGGCGCCCGCGAGAAGACAAAGGCGCUCGCAGUGGAAUCAGGGCGGAAGUGGGAAGUGACCCGAAACUCAAGGCCCCAAGAAGCAGUCUGAGCACAGUCUGGACGCUGCUGAACCAAGCGGGAAACAGUUCUGGCAACUCUUCAAGAACAAAAGGGAAUGGAUAUCUG